GAGCUCUGCUAGCUGCCUGGCUGGAAUCUGUUCCGGGUUGGGAGUUGUCAUUGGAGAGCACGUUUUAACCCUCUUCCUCGUGGUAAAUGUGGACCGUUUGUUGUUCGGCAUUUGGAUCGGGAACAAGGCCCGUACCACGCACCUCUAAGAACAAAGAUGGUACCUAUUCACCCUGACCCAGACUUCUUCGACCCCAGCAAGAUGGAAAGUUGGCAUCAGAGGAGCGGAGAGACUCACGUCAUUCUAAGAGUCAGUACUGACUGCUUAAUGCUCCCGCGAGUUCCUCCAGAAGCAACACCCAAGCACGCAAGUGUUGGAUUUUGUCCAAGAGACCAUGUAAUUUAUGAAGGAAGUGUACGUCAUUCACAUUUUCCAGAAAAGAGGACAAAAAACAGGAAGAUUAGCCGGGAGCUAACUGCUGCCACCAAUCCUCCUCUUUUUGCUGAGGAAGUCUGGCCCUGAGCUAAUAUCCGUGCCCAUCUUCCUCUACUUCAUAUGUGGGACACCACCACAGCAUGGCUUGUCAUGCUGUGCCAUGUCCGCACCGGGGAUCUGAACCGGCAAACCCCA
rnacentral:lncRNA from 1 species